UACGUAGGGUGCGAGCGUUGUCCGGAAUUAUUGGGCGUAAAGAGCUCGUAGGCGGCGUGUCGCGUCGGCCGUGAAAACCUGCAGCUUAACUGUGGGCUUGCGGUCGAUACGGGCAUCACUGGAGUUCGGCAGGGGAGACUGGAAUUCCUGGUGUAGCGGUGAAAUGCGCAGAUAUCAGGAGGAACACCGGUGGCGAAGGCGGGUCUCUGGGCCGAUACUGACGCUGAGGAGCGAAAGCGUGGGGAGCGAACAGG
rnacentral:rRNA from 1 species